rnacentral:tRNA from 2 species
GCGGAUGUGGUGAAAUUGGUAGACACGCUAGACUUAGGAUCUAGUGCCGAGAGGUGUGUGGGUUCGAGUCCCUCCAUCCGCACCA